UACGUAGGGUGCAAGCGUUGUCCGGAAUUAUUGGGCGUAAAGAGCUCGUAGGCGGUCUGUCGCGUCUGCUGUGAAAACUCAGGGCUUAACCCUGAGCUUGCAGUGGGUACGGGCAGACUAGAGUGCGGUAGGGGAGACUGGAAUUCCUGGUGUAGCGGUGAAAUGCGCAGAUAUCAGGAGGAACACCGGUGGGCGAAGGCGGGGUCU
rnacentral:rRNA from 1 species